rnacentral:snRNA from 14 species
AUACUUCCCUGGCAGGGGAAAUACCAUGACCACUAAGGUGGUUUUCCUACUGGCAGGGGAAAACCAGGGAGUAGUACCCUGAUCAAGUUAGCUUCCCACAUUCACUUCCAGUGGGAAGAUCUUGGCUACAUGCAACUUUGUGAAAAUGGGAGACUCCUCUCUAGCUUGCUCCUG